AAUAUAUAUAUACAUGACAAUCACAUGGUAUAAAAAAUUUUAAAAAUAAAAGUGGGUAAUUUAGAACAUUUUCUCCCAUUUUUCAGUGUUCUGUUCUCUUUGCCUGUGCGUGUGAUGUGCAAAGACAACCUUGGCUUUGGUUGUUUUGAUCUUUUCGUUCUUCACUCAGGAAUGUAUCUUUAAGAUGGUUAUGGCAUGUGUUGAGGUUGUAUUACUUAUUUUAUGAUGGAUGUUCUGUAGAGAGGAUUAGCAGAGGUUAUACUUGAACCAGAGUAAUAUACUGUGAUUCUAUGAAAUGGAGGAUGACAAUGGGCUUGAGCUUAGCUUGGGUCUAUCAUGUGGAGCAUCAUCUGCCAAAUCCAAAGGCAAGAUUGGUAGCUCCUCAGAUACUAGGACAGAAGGAGGUGAUAAAGCCAUCAGAAUAGUGGAUGACUUCAAAAACUUUCUUGAAGCUGGAAAUCAGAAACAGGACCCCAGUGUUGGUUCUCAGAGAAAUGAUCCUGUGAAACCUUCAGAAAAUUUCUUUAAUGAUCUUUUGAAGGGUGCUGCUGAUGCAGAAGCUUCUGAGAACUUGAAUGAUAGAGGCCUCUGGGGUACAAACAAUAACAGAUCUGCUGAAAUUGAUGAAGACAAGAGGUCAGAAGCUGGCAGUAAACGUAAGAUGUUGUUUGAUGAGAUAAACAAUCAAAAGAAGCUUGAAAGAGAAGCUCUUCAUACUGAUUUACAUGAAAAACCCAUAACAUCACGCAUCUCCAUAACAACAGAAGAUGGCUCCGCAGCUGAGAAUGAAGAUGUGGCAGAGUCUGAAGUAGAGGGUUCAACCUCGAGGCUGGUUUCACACCAUGAUGAUGGAUCCAAGCGAUUUAUUGGAGUUGGUGGUUCUUCUGAGGUGCCUAAGGAGCUUAAGCUUGCCAACUUGAAUUAUGGGAACCCAUUCCCGGUUCAAUCAGUAAAUGUCAUGAAUGUACCUUUCACAUUACCUAUGAAGGAUGGUAACCCUGUUGGAACCCCCAGUUCAUCGGGUCAUACAUUACCUGACAUGAUACAGAUUAUGCCUACAGGAAAUAGUGAACAGUCUGGGACCCGGCCAGUGAAUCCUGGAAACUUGCCAGUUAUGUUUGGCUACUCACCUGUCCAACUUCCACUGUUGGAUAAGGAUAAUUCCUGGGGGAUGGUCUCUCACCCUCCACAGUUCCACCCUUCUUAUGCGAGCAGGGGUCUACCUAAUCCAGAUAAGCACAGUGAUGGAUUGAAAAUAUCACAAGCUUCCAUGCAUACAAUUGAGCACAAUUCCUUAGAGGCUGCACAACAUGAUGGCAGGACAUUUGGACUAGUCAAAGGCGAGGGUAAACAGCAUGCCACAGAGGAAGGCUCCUCUACUCAGGCAGAGGAAGAUGUAAAAGCCAGCAGCAUGAAUCUCAGAACAAAUGCUGCAUCUGAUCGACCGACAGCAGAAGGCUUAUCUCUUGAUUUUUCAGCCAUAAAGCCUGGUAUUGCUGCAGACCUGAAAUUUGGGGGAUCUGGUUCUUAUCCAAAUUUACCUUGGGUUUCAACCACGGGUACUGGCCCACAUGGUAGAACAAUUUCUGGUGUUACUUACAGAUUCAGUGCAAAUCAGAUAAAGAUUGUUUGUGCUUGCCAUGGUACUCACAUGUCCCCUGAAGAGUUUAUUCGACAUGCCAGUGAAGAGUGCCCUAAUCCAGAUAAUAGCAAUGGUUUGGCAACAUUUCCAAGUACCAAUCCUUCUGCCUCUGCUCAGAGCUGAAGUCUAAAAUCGUUUGCCAGCACCAUAACAUACAUUGGCAUGCAAUCAAAUUUGUCUUUACUAUGGCCUUGAAUAUACUAUUGCAGCUCCUCCAGAAAAUCAUUUUCUUUUCGUUGUAUUAUAUUUGCCAGCGGUUUAAGCUUCAGAUUCUGACAUGCUCUCAUAGCAUGAGGAAAAUUUUCAACCACUUUAGUACAUAUGUAAGUUUUAGUUUUUAUGAUACUACUUUCGAAUGCAAUGCAUGUAUGCUGUCAUAGUUGCUAAUGUUGGCAGAAUGAGGAGAUCAUGGUUUUAAUUUUGGAAAGGUUAUUGAAAGGAUCCUGUAGGGCUAUCAUCUGCUUGGAUUAAUCAUUUUCCAACUGCAGCAUAUCCUUGCAGACUAAAUUCUUGAGCAGUCGCUAUAGUGAACAAGCAGUUAAGGAGUUUUUUUUUAUUUUUUAAUUUCUUAAACUAACCAUGUACCCUUCCAACUUCACUAGUUAUAUAGCUUACCUUAUACUUAAUUUCUUACCUGCGGGAUUUUAUAGAACGGUUACUGGACUUGACUUAUAAAUCUGUUUAACUUUUAUUUUACGUCA